rnacentral:sRNA from 1 species
GGCAGUUAGGCUGCAGUGAAUUCUACAAAGAGGCUAUGGGAAAGAAACCUGGAAAGUACCCUUGGCUGUGUACAUUUGAGUAAAGAGAGCACUAUAAAAUCAAAAACCAAUGAAAUGGUUUCCAGAACACAGAACUAUUAAGCUUAAGAAAAGGACAGAAGGAACUGAAGAGAGAGGAACUGUUUUGGAGCAUCACACUUCCACCUCAGAAGAAAUAAGGAAGGAAGGAGGAGGGUGUUCCCACGGCUCUUCAACCAGGCGGGCUCUUCAGCCUACAUCCCCAUCUCAUCAAGUAAAAGGGAUUUUUCAACUGGACCAACCAGAUGGUUUAACAGUGCACUCCCACACCAUUCAACUACGCAAGGGAGAUACACUUAACAUAUGCAGUCGUAUAACACCUACUAACAUUUUCAAACAUUAAACCUUUAAAAAAGAGUUCUAAAGAAAUAGAAGCUUGAAGUAUCAUCUCUCAAGUAUAUAGACACUACUUCAUGGUGUGGUAAUAUAUGCAUAUAGAAGCUAGUAAACACCUCCAGGAGAUGCAAAAGGAAUUAGAACUGCCACAAGGUGCAAGCAAAACCUUGAGAGUGAAUAUACCUUGGAAGAUGUGUCCUGCCUUUAGUAGCGUCACAAUGGAUUACAUCCUCUAUAAAGCAGUCUGGGAGGCUAACAUCUGCCACAAGACAAAUAUGGUGCCUGCCCCCAUGGAGCUCAUAUUCGAAUGGAGAAAAUGUCAACAAGUAUCCCACGGAGUGAACACUUCAAAAGGAGAAGCACAGGUGAGAAAAUCGAAUUUGGACACCGUUGAGGAGACUAUUGCAGUCAUCCAAGCUCAAGAUGGUGGAGCUUCAUCCUUGAGAAUAACCAAUGGGGAUAGAUUUAAGAGACACUUAGAGUCUGCAGCCAACAGGGCUGAAUGAGCAGAGAGUUAUGAUUCAGAAGAUCAUCUAAAAUUGAACAGCUGCCACUACUGGCAAUAAGUCUACUGCCAUUUGGUAGAUAACCUUCUUAUCACACAGAAAAAUAUCAGUACAGACAAAUAGACUGCAAAGAAAAUGAGACCAUCAGCAAAGAAGAUAAAGAAGUUUGUACAAAGCAACUUUUUAUAAAUGGAUGGCUGUCAGGCAAAAAUAAAUUUCCUGUGGACAAGACCAAGAGCAAGGCAAGAGGAAAAUAAACAUGUUUAAACU